GUGCUUGCUUCGGCAGCACAUUCACUAUAAUUAGAAUAAAGAGAUUGGAAUGGCUCCUGAGCAAGUAUGAUAUGCAAAUUCAUAAAGCAUUCUUUAGUAGG
rnacentral:snRNA from 1 species